GGUGAGAUCUGGCCAUGAAGGCCGUAGAUCGCCUGGUGGAUGCCUUUCGGGGAGGCAUCAAGUUGGGAUCUAGCUGGAGAAGAAGAAGAAGAUGUCGAAGAAGAUGACUGGAGACAGUCCCAUUGAGUACUCCUUUAAGAACAAGGGUCCUGCGAAGACACAGGCCCCUUCCUCUAGCGCCAGCUCUAUUGGUGCAGAAUUCCAUCAAUGCCGG
rnacentral:lncRNA from 1 species